UCAGGAGAAAAGAAACUAACAAGGAUUCCCCUAGUAACUGCGAGUGAAGCGGGAAAAGCUCAAAUUUAAAAUCUGAUAGUCUUUGGCUGUCCGAGUUGUAAUCUAGAGAAGCANUAUCCGUGCUGGACCAUGUGUAAGUCUCCUGGAAUGGGGCGUCAUAGAGGGUGAGAAUCCCGUCUUCAACAUGGACUCCCAGUGCAUUGUGAUAUGCUCUCAAAGAGUCGAGUUGUUUGGGAAUGCAGCUCUAAAUGGGUGGUAAAUUCCAUCUAAAGCUAAAUAUUGGCGAGAGACCGAUAGCGAACAAGUACCGUGAGGGAAAGAUGAAAAGAACUUUGGAAAGAGAGUUAAACAGUACGUGAAAUUGUUGAAAGGGAAACGCUUAAAGUCAGUCGCAUUGGUCA
rnacentral:rRNA from 1 species